rnacentral:rRNA from 1 species
CACUUUCAGUCGUGAGGAAGGUAGUGUAGUUAAUAGCUGCAUUAUUUGACGUUUAGCGACAGAAGAAGCACCGGCUAACUCCGUGCCAGCAGCCGCGGUAAUACGGAGGGUGCGAGCGUUAAUCGGAAUUACUGGGCGUAAAGCGCAUGCAGGUGGUUUGUUAAGUCAGAUGUGAAAGACCCGGGGCGUCAACCUCGGAAUAGCAUUUGAAACUAGGCAGACUAGAGUACUGUAGAGGGGGGUAGGAAUUUCAGGUGUAGCGGUGAAAUGCGUAGAGAUCUGAAGGAAUACCGGUGGCGAAGGCGGCCCCCUGGACAGAUACUGACACUCAGAUGCGAAAGCGUGGGGAGCAAACAGGAUUAGAUACCCUGGUAG